rnacentral:ncRNA from 1 species
GUUAUCGGAAUUAAGCAGACAAAUGGUUCCACCAACUAAAAACGGCCAUGCACCACCACUCGCAGACUCAAAAAAGAGCUCUUAAUCUGUCAAUCCUUCCUGUGCCCGGGCCAGGUAAGUUUUCCCAUCUUGAGUCAAAUUAAGCCGCAGACUACAUUCCUGGUGGUGCCCGUCCGUCAUCCCCCUGACUGGGGCUGUUAUCCGGAAAGGCUUAUAGCUGCUAGGCCUUCAGAUGCGAUCUCCUGACAGGUGGUUAACUCCAACUAAGGCUAAAUACUGCCGUGAGACCAAUAGCAAACAAGUACUGUGAGGAAAAGUUGCAAAGAACUUUGAAGAGAGAGAGUUCAAGAGUACGUAAAACUGCUCAGAAGUAAAUGGGUGGGCUCUCGAAAUCCUGUUGUGGGAGGAUUCAGUUGGGCUUCCGUGGCAGCACUGACCAAUUGACCAAAAUGUAUCCCAGAACUGGGCCGGGUCGGUUGUGCAGGUCACAGUUCUUGACGCAUUUUCUCCUGUUGUGAGGAUGCCGCAGCCAGUUGGGAAGAUUCGACAGACUAAAGAUGGCCAGAGGCGUGGCUUCAGCUAUGUCAUCAGUUGUUAGCCUGUUUGUGUGGGCUGAUUGCCCGACCAAGGUUUUUGUGACCCGAAUGCACUAGAUUUUCUCCGCCUCCUCCCUUUAGCAGAAGAGCAGGUAUUUAGAACGCAGCAAGCGUUUGAUGAUGGUGCGGCCACACUUUCUGACUGAGUGGGCCAGACCUGUCGCAAUGUUGGUGAGCUACGUCAUGCCCGUGGGAGUGCUGGCAGCUAGCGGCGAGUAGAUCGGUCACCCAUUCAACAAGG